rnacentral:rRNA from 1 species
UACGUAGGGUGCAAGCGUUAAUCGGAAUUACUGGGCGUAAAGCGCGCGUAGGCGGUUAGGUAAGUCGAUUGUGAAAUCCCCGGGCUCAACCUGGGAAUUGCAGUCGAGACUGUCUGACUAGAGUGUGGGAGAGGGUGGUGGAAUUCCCGGUGUAGCGGUGAAAUGCGUAGAUAUCGGGAGGAACAUCAGUGGAGACGGCGACCACCGGGAUCUACACUGACGCUGAGGUGCGAAAGCGUGGGUAGCAAACAGG